GAUGAACGCUGGCGGCGUGCCUAAUACAUGCAAGUCGAGCGAACAGACGAGGAGCUUGCUCCUCUGACGUUAGCGGCGGACGGGUGAGUAACACGUGGAUAACCUACCUAUGAGACUGGGAUAACUUCGGGAAACCGGAGCUAAUACCGGAUAACAUGUUGAACCGCAUGGUUCAACAGUGAAAGACGGUCUUGCUGUCACUUAUAGAUGGAUCCGCGCCGCAUUAGCUAGUUGGUAAGGUAACGGCUUACCAAGGCAACGAUGCGUAGCCGACCUGAGAGGGUGAUCGGCCACACUGGAACUGAGACACGGUCCAGACUCCUACGGGAGGCAGCAGUAGGGAAUCUUCCGCAAUGGGGGAAAGCCUGACGGAGCAACGCCGCGUGAGUGAAGAAGGUCUUCGGAUCGUAAAACUCUGUUAUUAGGGAAGAACAAAUGUGUAAGUAACUAUGCACGUCUUGACGGUACCUAAUCAGAAAGCCACGGCUAACUACGUG
rnacentral:rRNA from 1 species